AGGGGUAUAGGUUUUCGGAUCUAGAGACCGGCGCACGGGUGCGUUAACGCGNUAUGCAAUCUACCUUUUACAGAGGGAUAGCCCAGAGAAAUUUGGAUUAAUACCUCAUAGUAUUAUGAAAUGGCAUCAUUUUAUAAUUAAAGUCACAACGGUAAAAGAUGAGCAUGCGUCCCAUUAGCUAGUUGGUAAGGUAACGGCUUACCAAGGCAACGAUGGGUAGGGGUCCUGAGAGGGAGAUCCCCCACACUGGUACUGAGACACGGACCAGACUCCUACGGGAGGCAGCAGUGAGGAAUAUUGGACAAUGGGCGCAAGCCUGAUCCAGCCAUGCCGCGUGCAGGAUGACGGUCCUAUGGAUUGUAAACUGCUUUUGUACGAGAAGAAACACUACUUCGUGAAGUAGCUUGACGGUAUCGUAAGAAUAAGGAUCGGCUAACUCCGUGCCAGCAGCCGCGGUAAUACGGAGGAUCCAAGCGUUAUCCGGAAUCAUUGGGUUUAAAGGGUCCGUAGGCGGUUUAGUAAGUCAGUGGUGAAAGCCCAUCGCUCAACGGUGGAACGGCCAUUGAUACUGCUAGACUUGAAUUAUUAGGAAGUAACUAGAAUAUGUAGUGUAGCGGUGAAAUGCUUAGAGAUUACAUGGAAUACCAAUUGCGAAGGCAGGUUACUACUAAUUGAUUGACGCUGAUGGACGAAAGCGUGGGUAGCGAACAGGAUUAGAUACCCUGGUAGUCCACGCCGUAAACGAUGGAUACUAGCUGUUGGGAGCANUUCAGUGGCUAAGCGAAAGUGAUAGUAUCCNCCUGGGGAGUACGUUCGCAGAAUGAACUCAAGGAUNGACGGGGCCCCNCANCGGGGA
rnacentral:rRNA from 1 species